rnacentral:rRNA from 1 species
UACGAAGGGGGCUAGCGUUGUUCGGAAUUACUGGGCGUAAAGCGCGCGCAGGCGGUCUUCCAAGUCAGUGGUGAAAGCCCGGAGCUCAACUCCGGAACUGCCAUUGAAACUGUAAGACUUGAGGAUGAGAGAGGUGAGUGGAAUUCCUAGUGUAGAGGUGAAAUUCGUAGAUAUUGGGAAGAACACCGGUGGCGAAGGCGGCUCACUGGCUCAUAUCUGACGCUCAGGCGCGACAGCGUGGGGAUCAAACAGG